rnacentral:rRNA from 1 species
AACGAACGCUGGCGGCAUGCCUAACACAUGCAAGUCGAACGAGACCUUCGGGUCUAGUGGCGCACGGGUGCGUAACGCGUGGGAACCUUCCCUUAGGUUCGGAAUAACUCCCCGAAAGGGGUGCUAAUACCGGAUAAUGUCUUCGGACCAAAGAUUUAUCGCCUUUGGAUGGGCCCGCGUUGGAUUAGCUAGUUGGUAGGGUAAAAGCCUACCAAGGCGACGAUCCAUAGCUGGUCUGAGAGGAUGAUCAGCCACACUGGGACUGAGACACGGCCCAGACUCCUACGGGAGGCAGCAGUGGGGAAUAUUGGACAGUGGGCGAAAGCCUGAUCCAGCAAUGCCGCGUGAGUGAUGAAGGCCUUAGGGUUGUAAAGCUCUUUUACCCGGGAUGAUAAUGACAGUACCGGGAGAAUAAGCUCCGGCUAACUCCGUG